rnacentral:tRNA from 2 species
AUCUCCAUCGUCUAACGGUUAGGACGUGACCCUCUCAAGGUCAAAAUACGAGUUCAAAUCUCGUUGGAGAUACCA